rnacentral:rRNA from 2 species
UGGGGAAUUUUGGACAAUGGGCGAAAGCCUGAUCCAGCAAUGCCGCGUGAGUGAAGAAGGCCUUCGGGUUGUAAAGCUCUUUUGUCAGGGAAGAAACGGUGAGAGCUAAUAUCUCUUGCUAAUGACGGUACCUGAAGAAUAAGCACCGGCUAACUACGUGCCAGCAGCCGCGGUAAUACGUAGGGUGCAAGCGUUAAUCGGAAUUACUGGGCGUAAAGCGUGCGCAGGCGGUUUUGUAAGUCUGAUGUGAAAUCCCCGGGCUCAACCUGGGAAUUGCAUUGGAGACUGCAAGGCUAGAAUCUGGCAGAGGGGGGUAGAAUUCCACGUGUAGCAGUGAAAUGCGUAGAUAUGUGGAGGAACACCGAUGGCGAAGGCAGCCCCCUGGGUCAAGAUUGACGCUCAUGCACGAAAGCGUGGGGAGCAAACAGG